rnacentral:tRNA from 1 species
GCCGAAGUAGCUCAGCUGGUAGAGCAAUGCUUUCGUAAAGCAGAGGUCGUGGGUUCGAUUCCCACCUUCGGCU